GAUGAACGCUGGCGGCGUGCCUAAUACAUGCAAGUCGAGCGAACAGACGAGGAGCUUGCUCCUCUGACGUUAGCGGCGGACGGGUGAGUAACACGUGGAUCACCUACCUAUAAGACUGGGAUAACUUCGGGAAACCGGAGCUAAUACCGGAUAAUAUAUUGAACCGCAUGGUUCAAUAGUGAAAGACGGUUUUGCUGUCACUUAUAGCUGGAUCCGCGCCGCAUUAGCUAGUUGGUAAGGUAACGGCUUACCAAGGCAACGAUGCGUAGCCGACCUGAGAGGGUGAUCGGCCACACUGGAACUGAGACACGGUCCAGACUCCUACGGGAGGCAGCAGUAGGGAAUCUUCCGCAAUGGGCGAAAGCCUGACGGAGCAACGCCGCGUGAGUGAUGAAGGUCUUCGGAUCGUAAAACUCUGUUAUUAGGGAAGAAAAAAUGUGUAAGUAACUAUGCACGUCUUGACGGUACCUAAUCAGAAAGCCACGGCUAACUACGUG
rnacentral:rRNA from 1 species